UACGUAGGGGGCAAGCGUUGUCCGGAUUUACUGGGCAUAAAGAGCGUGUAGGCGGCCAAGCAGGUCCGUUGUGAAAACUGGAGGCUUAACCUCCAGACGUCGACGGAAACCGCGUGGCUAGAGUCCGGAAGAGGAGAGUGGAAUUCCUGGUGUAGCGGUGAAAUGCGCAGAUAUCAGGAAGAACACCAAUGGCGAAGGCAGCUCUCUGGGACGGUACUGACGCUGAGACGCGAAAGCGUGGGGAGCGAACAGG
rnacentral:rRNA from 1 species